rnacentral:rRNA from 1 species
CAUUAAGUAUUUUGUAAAGUUGUUCUAGUUUUGUAACUAAAAUGGUUUGGCAGUGAGCGAUUCUUAUUAGGGGAAUAUGCAUAGUGAAGGAUGGUCCACCUAUUAGUUUACUCUUUUUAUGUUGGUGUAUGUCUGGUUUGAUAUUAUUGUUGAAUAAUUUAAGUUUGUGUAGUUUUAGUUAAGCUAAGUCUAUGUGCUGCUUAUGGGAGUUUUUGUGUGUUACAUUAAUAAGGGUGUUAUUGUGAGAUGAUGUGAUUUAGGACUUAAUAGUAAUGUUAAAUGAGUUUGUUGAUGUGAAGAGAGUUUAGCUCAGGUACACACCGCCCGUCACCCUCGGUUACCACCUCUAUUAACACUUCCUU